rnacentral:lncRNA from 1 species
UUUUUUUUUUUUUUACAUAAUAAGGCCGUUAGUUUUCUCGUUUGAAUUGUUUUACAUUGUCUUAUCAGGGCCUUUUAUAGCUCACUAUGCGGUAUGGGCUUUACUCAUUGUUGAAAGCCGUACGGUGACCUAUAGUUGUUAAUGUCUGCGUCAUUUUGGUCUUUUGUGCAUAGUUGUCUCAUUGGCAAUCAUACUACAUCUUCUUUUUUAUAUUGUUUGAAUAUAUUCUGAAUACAGGAUACCAAAGAUAAAGACCAAUCUACUCUUUCUUUAACUUAUUUAAAUAUACUCUGAGUACAGGAUACCUAAGAUAAAGAUCAAUCUACUCUUUCUUUAACUUAAC